AGACUGCAGAAGAAGCACCGGCUAACUCCGUGCCAGCAGCCGCGGUAAUACGGAGGGUGCGAGCGUUAAUCGGAAUUACUGGGCGUAAAGCGCAUGCAGGUGGUUUGUUAAGUUACAGAUGUGAAGACCGGGCGUCAACCUCGGAAUUGCAUUUGAAACUGGCAGACUAGAGUACUGUAGAGGGGGGUAGGAAUUUCAGGUGUAGCGGUGAAAUGCGUAGAGAUCUGAAGGAAUACCGGUGGCGGAAGGACGGCCCCCGUCCGGACGAGAAUACUGACACUCAGAUGCGAAAGCGUGGGGAGCAAACAGGAUUAGAUACCCUGGUAGC
rnacentral:rRNA from 1 species